CUACUGGGGUAUCUAAUCCUGUUCGAUACCCGCACCUUCGAGCUUAAGCGUCAGUUGCGCUCCCGUCAGCUGCCUUCGCAAUCGGAGUUCUUCGUCACAUCUAAGCAUUUCACCGCUACACGACGAAUUCCGCCGACGUUGUGCGUACUCAAGGGAACCAGUAUGCGCUGCAAGUCAGACGUUGAGCGUCUACAUUUCACAACACACUUAAUCCCCGGCCUACGCUCCCUUUAAACCCAAUAAAUCCGGAUAACGCCCGGACCUUCCGUAUUACCGCGGCUGCUGGCAC
rnacentral:rRNA from 1 species